rnacentral:rRNA from 1 species
UGAGGAAUAUUGGUCAAUGGGCGGGAGCCUGAACCAGCCAAGUCGCGUGAAGGAAGAAGGAUCUAUGGUUCGUAAACUUCUUUUGCAGGGGAAUAAAGUGGAGGACGUGUCCUCUUUUGUAUGUACCCUGAGAAUAAGGAUCGGCUAACUCCGUGCCAGCAGCCGCGGUAAUACGGAGGAUCCGAGCGUUAUCCGGAUUGAUUGGGUUUAAAGGGUGCGUAGGUGUUUUAAUAAGUCAGCGGUGAAAGUUUGCAGCUUAACUGUAAAAAUGCCGUUGAAACUGUUAGACUUGAGGGUAAAUGAGGUAGGCGGAAUGCGUGGUGUAGCGGUGAAAUGCUUAGAUAUCACGCAGAACUCCGAUUGCGAAGGCAGCUUACCAAGCUACAACUGACACUGAAGCACGAAAGCGUGGGGAUCAAACA